UUCUUUAAAUAUACAACUGUCUAAUUUAUAAAAUAAACCCGAAGUUAAAACAUGUUUUGCAACGAGCCUAUAUGUACUACAUUCGGAUAAGACUAUGUCAAUGUUUUCGAGAUUAUGUAUUCAAAUGAAUACAGAAAGUGUUGGUCUUCAGAAUUUGCCUCAAAGAUGCAAUUUUUGCUGUUGAGAUGAAAACUCUAUAGGCAGUGAACAUGCAUGUUGUGCCAGGCAUAUAGUCAAAUGGUCAGUAAUCAAAUUUAUAAUUUUUUAUGCAGUACUUAUAAAUCAUUUAAACAAGUGAUGUGAAUGGAAUUUCUGAAUGUCCAAAAAACGUGGAAACGCACAAAAAAUAUGAAGAUACACAGUUACAAGCCUGCAGAACAGUAGAUGCUGCAAGUAUUAAUGGAAUCAAUAUUGAAAAGAUUGAUGUUUUUGUUAGUGAUGAUGAAAAAGAGGUUUCUAAUGAUGCUGAAGAGGAACCUGAAGUUGCAUUACACGAGGCGGAAUAUUCUUUAAAUACUGGAGAAGCUUCAAACACUCUCAGUCAAGAUGUUGCUAAAUCAUUUUACCUACGGCAUGAUGGCACUGAAGAAAGAGUUAAACUUAUAACAUCGUAUGACUUGGAAUGCGUGAAUGCUGAAAAUGACGUUACAGAAAAAUUGAAAAUGACCGAGGAUGUGGUUGUAAGAGAUGAGAAUACACGCAUAUAUGAUACAGAUGAUUUAAGGAUGAAAACAAGUGUGAAUCAUGAACAUGUUGGGGAACUUUGACCAAAAGUUGUCCAGGAAUACAGGAAAUUGACUUUGGUUUCUGUGAUAAUCUUACUUCAGUACCUGUGAUAUGUUACAGUGUCUACCUGAAAACUGCCAGGAUUUGAGGAAAAUUAAUUUGGAAGGUUGUCAUAAGCUUGAAAAUAGAAGCCUAAAAUAUUUUGUAAAAUGUAAAAAAUUAUCACAUCUCAACUUUUCACACUGCUAUUAUUUUCAAGACUGCGGAAUUAUCUUUCUAGCUGAUGGGCUUCCGGAGAUAAAAAGCAUUAAUUUGGAUGGAAUAAGUUUAACAGACAGAGGAGUGAAAGGUUUGGUGGACAGUCACUACCUAUCCUUGGAGGAGGUGGAGCUGGAUGGGGGAGAAAAAGAAAUUUCUGAUGUAGGACUUGAGCAACUUUCACGCUGAAAGCAGUUGAAACAUCUCGGCAUCUCCUUCUGUGAAUGUCUAACUGAUCAGUCUUUAGAAUAUCUAAAGGAAUUAAAGAAUUUGGUCUAUCUGAGAUUAAGUAAAGGCAGAGACUUUUCCUCUGACGGGCUGUCUAGUUUUUUCAAAGUAGCUUCAUUAUCAAAACUGCGGGUCUUGAAUCUGUCUGAGUGUAUUGAAGUCAAUGAUCAAGUUGUGUCUGACAUGUUUCAAGCGUGUGGCAGCCACUUGAAGGAGCUGUCUCUGAGCUUGUGUGAUACCAUCACAGACACAGGACUUAUCUCUAUAGUGGAUCACUGCUGAUAGCAACAUGGAGAAUCUGGAUCUUUCAGGUAUAGGUAGUAUCUAUGGCGAAUGUUUGUUGAGAGUUCCAGAGGAAAUGAAAAAACUCAGGUUCCUUGAUCUCAGACUGUGCAGACAGAUACUGGAUAAUCUCAUUGAUGAUAUUGUUUAGCGGAAGAAGGAUUUGAGGAUUGAGAAAACAUGCAAAAAUGAAUACUUGUUUCUAAUGUUGUGUACCUAAUAGUGAAAAUAUAAGAUCUGGUGGAAAUGAGCGAAUGAUAUUUGAUCUUACAUGUGAAACUAAUUUUUAUGCCCCCGAAGGGAGGCAUAUAGUUUUUGAACCGUCUGUCGGUCUGUCAGUCUGUCCGCAAUUUUCGUGUCCGGUCCAUAUCGUUGUCAUUGAUGGAUGGAUUUUCAAAUAACUU
rnacentral:lncRNA from 1 species